UACGGGGGGGGCAAGCGUUGUUCGGAAUUACUGGGCGUAAAGGGUCUGUAGGUGGCUUGCUAAGUCAGACGUGAAACCCCUCAGCUUAACUGGGGAACUGCGUCUGAGACUGGCGAGCUUGAGGGCAGGAGAGGAACGCGGAAUUCCAGGUGUAGCGGUGAAAUGCGUAGAUAUCUGGAGGAACACCGGUGGCGAAGGCGGCGUUCUGGACUGCAUCUGACACUGAAAGACGAAAGCCAGGGGAGCAAACGGG
rnacentral:rRNA from 1 species